rnacentral:rRNA from 1 species
GCUACAAUGGACAGAACAAAGGGCAGCGAAACCGCGAGGUUAAGCCAAUCCCACAAAUCUGUUCUCAGUUCGGAUCGCAGUCUGCAACUCGACUGCGUGAAGCUGGAAUCGCUAGUAAUCGCGGAUCAGCAUGCCGCGGUGAAUACGUUCCCGGGCCUUGUACACACCGCCCGUCACACCACGAGAGUUUGUAACACCCGAAGUCGGUGAGGUAACCUUUAUGGAGCCAGCCGCCGAAGGUGGGACAGAUGAUUGGGGUGAAGUCGUAACAAGGUAGCCGUAUCGGAAGGUGCGGCUGGAUCACCUCCUUUCUAAGGA